AAAAAACUACAUUAGGGGCCUCGGUUGGCCGAAAAAUCAUCAAAAACACCUAACCUACCGGCGAAAGGUCACCAACUGCGGUGGUUCGAUCGGUCCUUCUUCGCAACUGUGGUUCUUUCUUCAGCUAAUUUGUACAGAAAAGGAUUGUGAGCAUAAUAAUUGAAAAAUUGCGUGAAACGAGAAACAGAAAUAGGCUCAUCGGAGAAAUUUUUGGGUUUUGGCUACGGCGGCU
rnacentral:lncRNA from 1 species